ACUAAAAACAAAGAUGAUUGAAUCACCUAUUCCAAGCACUGGCCACUGCCCAAGAUAGUUUAGCAAUCAAAAUAUAGAUGUUGCAUCACUCAUAUCAAGCACUAUAUGCCACCAAAGUUGCUAAUCAGGUUAGCAAAUCAGAAGCAACUCCCGAUUACGGCGGCCAACCAAUCGCACCAGCUUUGAUGCAUCUUCAUCGCCAUUCGGGAUUCGGCAAUUUGCCACUAAGUUAUUGAAGUCUUGAAGCAAAGGUACUCAGCUUGAGCUUCCUAGCUCUCAUUGGAUUUGUUUUUUAAGCCUAUUGCACACCAUCAAGGUCCAUCACCAACUACCAUUGUUCAGUUGAAAGAGCCUUCUCAGUGACAAACAUCAUCAAAACCGAGUUGUGGAAUAAGAUGAGAGAUGAAUGGUUGAAUGAUAUGAUGGUAUGCUAUAGUGAAUGUCAAGUGUUUGAAACAAUUGAUGAUAAAGAUAUUUCAAAGUAUGCAAAGCUGAAGGAUUCAACUUCCACCUCGUAGCGGUUGUUGUUAGCAGGGAUAGUAGAACAGCGGAGUAAAAGGGUGAAAUGCUUGGCAGAGUUUAUUUUGUGAUUUUCUUAAGAUGUGUAUGAUACCUAAAGCAUUUUGGCAUGUAUUAGAAGGAUCCACUACGAUGUUAUACCUUCAUAUUUUGUUUUACUUCUCUUGAAUAUUCCUAAUUGUGUCAGUCAGGAAUAUGUGAUGUAUGAGAGUUAUACCCAGUG